rnacentral:rRNA from 1 species
UACGUAGGGUGCAAGCGUUGUCCGGAAUUAUUGGGCGUAAAGAGCUCGUAGGCGGUCUGUCGCGUCGGCUGUGAAAACCCCGGGGGCUCAACCCCCGGGCCUGCAGUCGAUACGGGCAGACUAGAGUGCGGUAGGGGAGACUGGAAUUCCUGGUGUAGCGGUGAAAUGCGCAGAUAUCAGGAGGAACACCGGUGGCGAAGGCGGGUCUCUGGGCCGUAACUGACGCUGAGACGCGAAAGCGUGGGGAGCAAACAGG